UAAGUUUGACCUCAAAUCAGGUAGGGUUACCCGCUGAACUUAAGCAUAUCAAUAAGGCGGAGGAAAAGAAACCAACUGGGAUUGCCUUAGUAACGGCGAGUGAAGCGGCAAAAGCUCAAAUUUGAAAUCUGGUACCUUUGGUGCCCGAGUUGUAAUUUGGAGAGUACCACUUUGGGACUGUACUUUGCCUAUGUUCCUUGGAACAGGACGUCAUGGAGGGUGAGAAUCCCGUGUGGCGAGGGUGUCAGUUCUUUGUAAAGGGUGCUCGAAGAGUCGAGUUGUUUGGGAAUGCAGCUCUAAGUGGGUGGUAAAUUCCAUCUAAAGCUAAAUACAGGCGAGAGACCGAUAGCGAACAAGUACAGUGAUGGAAAGAUGAAAAGAACUUUGAAAAGAGAGUGAAAAAGUACGUGAAAUUGUUGAAAGGGAAGGGCAUUUGAUCAGACAUGGUGUUUUGCGCCCCUUGCCUCUCGUGGGCUUGGGACUCUCGCAGCUCACUGGGCCAGCAUCGGUUUUGGCGGCCGGAAAAAACCUAGGGAAUGUGGCUCUGCGCCUCGGUGUAGAGUGUUAUAGCCCUGGGGAAUACGGCCAGCCGGGACCGAGGACUGCGAUACUUGUUAUCUAGGAUGCUGGCAUAAUGGUUAUAUGCCGCCCGUCUUGAAACACGGACCAAGGAGUCUAACGUCUAUGCGAGUGUUUGGGUGUUAAACCCGUACGCGUAAUGAAAGUGAAC
rnacentral:rRNA from 1 species